UCUUCUGCCUCCCUCUUUUUCUCUACGUCUCUUUCUCUCUUCUACCGUAGUGUGGCGAUGCUCAUGAUUUGGGAUGCAUCACGCUGCGAUCGCGUUUACUGCUCCGGUGGGUUGUGGUGGCUCUCGUAGUGGAGAUAGAAGUGGUUCUAGGAAGGUGUAACUGACGCCGUGGGUCAGUCACAAAAUCUUUCAGUCUUCAUAAUGAAGCUUCACUUCUCGAAGGUGUAACUGACCCCAUUUCUGAUGGAUUUUUUCCAACUCCAAAACCCUAGUUUGUUUUCUUCCAACUCCAAUGAAGCUUCACUUCUCGAAGUUGACGGUGCCUUGAAAUUUCCUACAUAUCCGACGAGAAUGCCGACGAAGAUCCCGAACUUAGAAUCACCGUCGAUGACGAAGGACCGGUAGGGAAGAGAUGAAGGACGCCAUGCUUUCGAAGGGGAAACCCUUGAUCUUGGUGGUAGUUAGAAUUGAGGGUAAUGCAUUUCCCCCUGAUGAUGUAGCUUUGGCGUGUGGUAUGUAUCUAUUGCAGUUGUGUAGUGGAGGUGAUGAAAAUGCAAUUGGAGCAUUUGCACAGCUUGUGUUUGCACCUAUCGAUGAGUAUUUUGCAAUUGAUGCUAUGUUACUGGCUUCUAGUUUCCGCAUCAUAUAAUUGGAUCCUAUGAUGAUGCAUUUGAUUUUGAAAUGACUUGGUCUUGUUAUUUUCUUAAGUAGCUUUUUGAAGGGACUCAUGAACAUGAACAUGUUUUGUCUUACAUUUGAACAUGUUUUGUCUAACCUGAUUACGCGUUUCUGAAUAUUUGUUGAUUUCAGGAUGGUCCAACUUCAACUAGGACACUAGAUUUGGCAUCAGCACUAGACAUAGGAUCUUGAUUCUGUGUUGUAAGAUGAUAAUUGAAUAUAUAGGUUCCUUGAAGUCGAUGAAGACUCCUGGCAGGGCAUAAAGGAAAAAAGUGUCAAGAAACUUACAUCUACCGGUUUCAUCAUUGAUCCACGUUGACGCAUUAAAUAUCAUAAAGGCAAGUUUGAUUAAUAUUAAUAGAAAUUUGAGCAACUGGGAUGGUGGAGAUCCAUAUACAUCUAACUGGACAGGAGUCACACAAGCGGAUGCCCAAAAACUAAUAAGCAGGUUCCCAGGAUCCUUCAAGGAGGCCUCUGAGUCAAUGACGCAACAGGAUCACAAGAAUAAUCAUGCACAUGCUCCUCAAAAGGAAGAAGGAAGAGGCAGCAACAACAAAGACUCAAGUCUUAUUGGGAUACAUUGUAGAUGGUGUGGUUGGAUCGAAACUGAAAUAAAAUAUAUCACUCCACCAUUUGGAAAGAACAACUCAUCAAUGAAGUUGAUUGGUCUGGCAACCAGAGGCAGAAUAAGGAUGCCAUUCGGAUCAACUACAAUUUGUAAAUGAUUCAGGGAACAAGAUUGACAUCCAUAUACUGGAAAAAGAUUGACAUCCAUAUACUGCAUUAGAAGAAGAGCUACAUUAGCAUCUAGGUCUGAUACAACUCUAGUGAUGUAAGGUGUCAUAAUUUGUUUCUGUAGAAGUUCUCUCUUAUAGAGGGAUAUUUUCUUUUUGAAACACUUGAUUUUAUUGUAGGCGGCUAUGUAUGAUUUUAAGGAGUUGUAGGGGCAAUGUAUGAUAUUAAAGAACACAAUAAUAAAUCUAGUGAUGUUUUCUUCCGUAUUUUUCCCAACGUUUUUCUCUUGUCUCUUU